CGAAGCAACGCGAAGAACCUUACCAGGUCUUGACAUCUCCUGACAAUCCUAGAGAUAGGACGUUCCCCUUCGGGGGACAGGAUGACAGGUGGUGCAUGGUUGUCGUCAGCUCGUGUCGUGAGAUGUUGGGCUAAGUCCCGCAACGAGCGCAACCCUUGAUCUUAGUUGCCAGCAUUCAGUUGGGCACUCUAAGGUGACUGCCGGUGACAAACCGGAGGAAGGUGGGGAUGACGUCAAAUCAUCAUGCCCCUUAUGACCUGGGCUACACACGUGCUACAAUGGAUGGUACAAAGGGCUGCAAAACCGUGAGGUCGAGCGAAUCCCAUAAAACCAUUCUCAGUUCGGAUUGUAGGCUGCAACUCGCCUACAUGAAGCUGGAAUCGCUAGUAAUCGCGGAUCAGCAUGCCGCGGUGAAUACGUUCCCGGGUCUUGUACACACCGCCCGUCACACCACGAGAGUUUGUAACACCCGAAGUCGGUGGGGUAACCGUAAGGAGCCAGCCGCCUAAGGUGGGA
rnacentral:rRNA from 1 species